rnacentral:rRNA from 1 species
UACGUGAGGGGCUAGCGUUGUCCGGAAUCAUUGGGCGUAAAGCGCGUGUAGGCGGCCCGGUAAGUCCGCUGUGAAAGCGAGGGCUCAAACCCUCGAAGCCGGUGGAUACUGUCGGGCUCGAGUGCGGGAGAGGCGAGUGGAAUUCCUGGUGUAGCGGUGAAAUGCGCAGAUAUCAGGAGGAACACCGGUGGCGAAGGCGGAUCUCUGGGGCCGAUACUGACGCUGAGGAGCGAAAGCGUGGGGAGCGAACAGG